rnacentral:pre_miRNA from 1 species
CCCAGUGUUCAGACUACCUGUUCAUUAGGCUAUAGGUGUACAGUAGUCUGCACAUUGGUUA